ACCAUUCAUCCAUACCACUUUCUUUGUUACAUUCAGCUAUAACAAUCAGGUAUCUUUAUAGCUAUAACAUUCAGAUAUGUAUCAGUAAAUCGUAUCUUCCAUAGCUAUGUAUCUGUAUACCUAUGUAUCUGACAACAUGAGUAUAGGUAUAAUUCAGGACAGGUGAAGCAUAAAGUUACAAAAUAACAAACAGAAAAAUACAGAAAACUACAUGUUUUCUUCCUCGAUUUGUAAAUACAUGUGUUCCUCCUCGAUGCAGGGCACGGCCGAGACAACUUUGCGCUGCUCCUUGCUUCCUGCAAUGUGACCACGCCCUGCCCUAGAUACCUGUGUUCCAACUAUUACGAAACGAAUAUGUUAGACAUCAGCUUGCUUGUUUCUUUGAUUCUUCGGUGGAGAGAAACCAGAGAAUCGGUGUGCACAAAUGUCAGCCAAGGAGUAGACCUUAAUCACGCACGUGAGAGGGGAGGAGGUUCCUGGGGAUGAGCAGCCAGCCAUGGAGGCAAUAACAGGAAGGGUGGCCGUCGCCUGUGCAUCGCCUAGACAUAGCUUGGGGGAGGCUCUCUUCCUCUCGUCUGCAUCUCUUUGCUGAUGAAAUCAUGAAAGCAUAUGAUAAAUAAAUUUUAAGAAAAUAAAACAUUUCUAGACUUGAAUCCAGCGGUAAACCUACAUAUGCCAGUAGCAGGAAACCACAUGAACCGAUGCCUUGACUGCAUACCACACACCCGUGAGUGGGGAAUCAAACCAGAAAAAAAAUCAUGAGAGGUGACACAAGCGCAACACACCAACGAUGGCCGCCGCCGGAGUGGAUCGGAGAAGGGGAUGAGCCUACGGGCUGGGUGCUCCGCCCAUCGCGCUGUUUGUCGACCACGGCAGAGAUCGGGAUCCUUCUUUCUCGGCUUGGCUAUCAUCAACAACAUUAUAGUGGAACCUAAAUCUUAUAAAGUAGUAAUUCAUGGAUACUUCUGUUUUGUCACACAAACCUCUGCUUUAUAGGCAUCAAAAAACUAUAGAUACUAGUCCACAAAAUGCCUCGAGUUCCAUCCUAAUAUAUCUUCUUCAUUGGUUACACAUCAUCUUCCUCAACUAUGAGGCGGCCUUGCUUUUUACCAACCUAGAUAACCUGGAAUUAAUCAAUGAAAGCAUCAGUCAAUUGAAGCUUGAUAAUCACAUAAUGCAUGACUACUUUGAAGCAAAGGUUAAGUAACUACAGAUUAGAACAUAUCAAGCUUGACCUAUACUUUUUAACUAAUAAUCACUUUACCGGCCUCCAUGACAUAAACUGACAUGGCAUAAUGACAUAAUAACAUACUUUUUUUCUUUCUAAAUUGCAUAAUUGAAAAGAAGCAUGAACUACAAGCAAAAAAAAGAACCAAGCAUUACAUAUUAGGCAGAGCAUGUGACAUUCAUUGGCAAGCAUGCUAGUACCUUUGGGAACCAAGCAUUACAUAUUAGGCAGAGCAUGUGACAUUCAUUGGCAAGCAUGCUAGUACCUUUGGACCGCCUAUAGGUAUACUCCUGUGGGCGCUGGCUGGUGGCCGACAUUAUCAUGAGAUCAUAACAUUCUUCUCUUUUGUUUCUCAUUUUCGCUUUCAUUUUAUUUCUCUUCCCUGCACAAUUAGCAUGCUCUCACACUUCCUCUAUCAAUGACAAGGCAGCUCUCCUGUGCACCAUCUAUGCUCCUGCC
rnacentral:lncRNA from 1 species